rnacentral:rRNA from 1 species
UACAGAGGUCUCAAGCGUUGUUCGGAUUCAUUGGGCGUAAAGGGUGCGUAGGUGGCGGGGUAAGUCAGGUGUGAAAUCUCGGAGCUCAACUCCGAAACUGCACUUGAUACUGCCUUGCUGGAGUACUGGAGAGGAGAUUGGAAUUUACGGUGUAGCAGUGAAAUGCGUAGAUAUCGUAAGGAAGACCAGUGGCGAAGGCGGAUCUCUGGACAGUUACUGACACUGAGGCACGAAGGCCAGGGGAGCAAACGGG